rnacentral:pre_miRNA from 1 species
NNNNUACUCCUUCCGUCCGGAAAUACUUGUCAUUGAAAUGGAUGUAUCUAUAUGUAUUUUAGUUCUAGAUACAUCCAUUUUGAUGACAAGUAUUUCCGAACGGAGGGAGUACAUC